UGCCCAGUGCCCGCCGUCCUCACCUGGCCAGCGGGACGCGCCCGGGAACCCCGCACGCGGGCGGGCCGCCUCUUUGUUAGCAAGUUUGCCUUUCUGUGAUUCAGAGCACGCGGAGCGAAUUAAGUGGAGUGAGGGGUACUGUGCGACUGUCUGCGGGAAACCUGCGGGGAGCGCGGGAAGGGAUGGACUUGAUGAGCCGCGGCGCAGCGGCUUUCAAACCUCCCCGCGCUCCGCAGCCCCCAGCCCCCGCCCUACCCGCCCUCUCAGAUCCCUCUGUCUCCUGCCUAGGUCGGCCCCUGGGAGAGGUUGGCUCCUGGGGGUUCCCAGGGACUUUAGGGACAAGGUUUGAUGACAUAGAGCUUCCCCACGCCCCCUUCCUCCCCUCCCCUCAUCCUCCGCCCCGCGACUCCCAUCACUGCCCUGUCCCUCUCAGGGUCCUGGGGACCAUCGGCCCUGCAUUCCCUGGGCUCAGGGAGAAUCAAGAUUCUUCCUAAUCUGGAGCAAAAAGAGUAGACGGUAGGGCCCAGCUGUCCCUGCCUGCACCCAGUGGAGGUGCAAAGCUGUCCCUAAGUGGGUCUGUCCUAGCAGUGGGGCGUGCAUUGUGGGUUAUUUCCCAGAGCAACGGUGGCCUUGUGCUUAUCCAACCAUGUUCUUUUGAAACUUGACUGCAGCGAGCCGGGUUAUCCAUAUACCAGGUUGCUAGGUCAGGGAGGCCGCUACUGGGGGGCAGGGAACGCGAAGCACGCCACUGUGCCCCAGAGCACCAGUGCUCUCAAUGCCGCAGCUGACCGCUGGGAAAGGCUUCGCACAGGGCCAUGCGGGAAGGAGAUGACAGCCACAGUCCCCUGAGAUGAAGACCUGAAUGCAGAAGCUGCCGCGAAGGAGUCCCCAGAGCUUGCUGUGCGCGGUGCAGGAGGAGGAGUGUGCUGGGGGUGAGUGAGGUCUAUGGGGGUAAGCCCCCCCGCCUCCCCGUAGACCUCCUGGAAUGCCUGGAACAGCUCAGCAACCUGGGCACAGGUGGCUUGAGACAACCUAGCCAUUCGGGCCUGCUGCCAGAGUGAACGCCACAGGGAGGCCUGCCGGGUCUGGGGAGCAUGAGCUGGUCAGGCCCCCAGUAGACCCCUUGCAGGCUGAUCUCCAUCUCCAUGCAGAGUCUGUAUCCUAGAAAUCCAACCUGAGAUCCUGCGGCACCGAGAAAGGGAAGCUGUUUCAAGAGAUAGGAAUUGUCAGAAAAAGCCGGAGAAGGUGGUGUUAAAGGAAAACAUUGAGAAUGGGGAGUGAAGACGAGGGUUUUUCGUAGCAGAAGAUGGAUCUUCGAAAGCCAGGAGGCAGAGGAGAGCAACGCUGUCGGUGAGAUAAAGCUGGAGAUUUCUGCUACGUGCAGCACAUACUGCUAAUCCUCUCUCAUCUCCAGGAAGUUUUCAAAAACCUGCUUCUGUAACUAGUGGACAGGUCUUCUGGAUCCAAGGUCACCUGCUGGGGAGAAAGAGAAGCCUUUGGAUAAACAUCACAAGUUUUCCUGGAACAUGGAUUUUAUUUAAGAUUUUUUGGAAAGAAGGGAAUAAGGUUUUUACCUUUGUAAUGUUUUUACAAAUAUUUUCAAAAGUGUAACAUGUAUAUGUGCUCAUUUUAGAAAAUUUGAUCAGUAUAAAAUAUUAAAGAAGAAAGUAAAAGCUCAUUUGGAAUCUUAUCUGUUGGAAGGAAUCACUGUCUUGCUAUAUGUUGGUGAAUAUCCUUUUGAUGAUGUGUAUGUGUGUCAGUGUGUGUUUGUAACUUGAAUUUUUAAAGUUUGAGAAUAUAUUCUAGUCGUCUU
rnacentral:lncRNA from 1 species